rnacentral:rRNA from 1 species
CAAUAGCGUAUAUUUAAGUUGCUGCAGUUAAAAAGCUCGUAGUUGGAUUUCGGGUGGGAAUGGCCGGUCCGCCGUUUCGGUGUGCACUUGCUACGCCCACCUUGCUGCCGGGGACGUGCUCUUGGGUUCACGCUCGGGACACGGAGUCGGCGAGGUUACUUUGAGUAAAUUAGAGUGUUCAAAGCAGGCCUACGCUCUGAAUACAUUAGCAUGGAAUAACACGAUAGGACUCUGGCCUAUCUUGUUGGUCUGUAGGACCGGAGUAAUGAUUAAGAGGGACAGUCGGGGGCAUUCGUAUUUCAUUGUCAGAGGUGAAAUUCUUGGAUUUAUGAAAGACGAACUACUGCGAAAGCAUUUGCCAAGGAUGUUUUCAUUAA